UUUUUAUUUAACCUAUCGUAGCCGACUCUUAGUGUUUCCUCAAUUUUAUCAUCUGAAUCAUUUCGAAGCCUAGGCAUCAUCUUCACCCACUCAUCUUUGUCCCUUCCUUUUAAAGAUGAACCCAAGACACUGAGACCCAAAGGAAGACUACCGACAAGCUCGGCAACUUCAAAUGCUAGUUCCUUAAAAUCAUCAGGUGGAGAGUCUUUCCCAAAAGCAUAUUGGGAUAUCAUCUUAAGAGCAAGACCUUGAGAUGGCAGC
rnacentral:sRNA from 1 species